CAAAAUAAAUUCGGGUUCGGUUCUGGUUCGCGUCGGGUUCGGGUUCGGGUCGGGUACAAUCAAAAUCCAUAUCAAAAUCCAUAUAUGUCGAGUUUCUAUUUUUUAUAUCCAUAUCCAAAUUCAUAUCCAUAUCCAUCGGAUAUAUCCGUUUCAUUCGGGUUCGGAUUCGGGUUCGGAUAAAAUUUCAGAUAUCCAUACCCAUUGACAUCCCUACUUUCAAAUACCACCCCGGCCUGUGGUUUUCCACUUUCUCACUUUAGUAUCCUAUAGUUUUAAAGUGUAUUAAGUUAGUGUUCAGUGGUUUCACUUUUAUUUUUUCGUCAGCUUUUUCGUUAAUAUUUCGUUAAAUUAUAUACAGAAAAUUUCAGAUACUUCACCUAGGUUUAUCAAGUAUCCACUUUGGUAUUCUUUAGUUUUAACUUUGCCACUAAUUUAACGAAAAAAAUAAGUGAAAUUAAUAAUAAAAAGAUAAAAAUGAAAUCACAUGACACUAAAUUAAUAUACUUUAAACCACAUAGUACUAAA
rnacentral:lncRNA from 1 species